rnacentral:rRNA from 1 species
AGUCACUGACAUUAGAUACCCGCGUAGUCCCAGCCGUAAACAAUGUGCGUUAGGUGUGUCGGUAACCACGCGUUACUGAUGCGCCGAAGAGAAAUCGUGAAACGCACCACCCGGGAAGUACGGUCGCAAGGCUGAAACUUAAAGGAAUUGGCGGGGAGCACCACAACAGGUGGAGCCUGCGGUUUAAUUGGAUUCAACGCCGGACAUCUCACCGGAUAAGACAGCUGAAUGAUUGUCAAUCUGAAGGUUUUACAUGACUAGCUG